AUGUGUGAUCCAGCUACGGUCUAUUUAUCAGUGAGAGCAGACAACAUCAAUCGUCGACCAACAGACAUCAGACCAAACAGGCCCAGAGAGUGCGAUCCAGCUACAAUCUACUCAUCAGUGAGAAGAGACAAGAUCACUCAUGGACAAAGAGACAUCAGACCAAACAGGCACAGAGGUACAGCUGCUCUUUAUUCAAAGGAAAUCAAGUCUACUUCCAUCUUUCCUGUGUUAUUUAGCCUAACUACAGCUCUGUGGCUAGCUACCACAUUGCUUUACAGCAGCGGUCCCCAACCCCCUGGCCUCGGACCGGUACCAGUCCGCGAGAGUUGAGGCUCAGGUGUGAAAUGUGUGGUUUUCAGGGUUUUUAUCGGUUUUCAGCGUUAUUUUGUUAUCGUUUUUAUCGUUAACUCGGUUUUCCUGGAUCUUUUCAUAUGUGUUAUGAAUAAAUCUUCUUUUUUUCGGUACCGGUACUAGUUUUAUUUUGUUGUAUUUAUCCGCGACACCUUAUUGCCGGUCCGUGAAAAUAUUGUCGGGCAUAAACCGGUCCGUGGCGCAAAAAAGGUGCAAAGACAAUUCUCUGCAGCACUGACUGUUGACACUUUCAAACAUAAACAUUUUCAAGCAUUUGUAAAAGGUUAAAAAUGUGUGUUUAAGCCAGAAAUAUGAGUUAAACUAAUAGUUAAAAAGUUAAGGGAUAAGAAGCAGGAGGUCGCAGCAGAUGGCCCCGCCCCUCCCUGAGCCUGGUUCUGCUGGAGGUUUCUUCCUGUUAAAAGGGAGUUUUUCCUUCCCACUGUCGCCAAAGUGCUUGCUCAUAGGGGGUCAUAUGAUGGUUGGGUUUUUCACCAUAUGUAUUAUUAUAGGAUAUACUGUACAAUAUAAAGCGCCUUGAGGCGACUGUUGUUGUUAUUUGGCGCUAUAUACAUAAAAUUGAAUUGAAUUGAAUAGAAGAGCAUUCAUAACUUAUGUGGAUUUAAGUUCAGUUCAUGUCUUCAAAAAAGGUAAACAAGGGACACCCAAGUUAUAUUGUUUGUGCUUAUUAUGUCUUUAAUUGCUGAAUCAGUGUUAUCCACUACACUUUACAUGUGCUAUUGCAUUACUUAAAGAUACCACUAGAUGGCGCAUAAUGCUCAGGAGGAGCAUAAACCCCCUUUUGAGGCAAAUCUGCAGAAUAAAUCCUGCAGUUGAAACUGUAAACAAGCUCAUGAUCUAUGCCUCUUUGUUUUAAUACACAGCUGCAGGAUCUAGG
rnacentral:lncRNA from 1 species